GGCUUUCAGUCUUGAAUCUUGUUAUCAAAGCCAGGGCACCAGUCUCUAAACUGGAGGAAAAGUUUAUCAGUUUCUCCUCUGGAGCGGGCACUUACAACAUCCAAUCUUCCUAGCUGGGGAAGCCCAGUGAAGGCAGCCGGUUGGAAUCCCAAUUGAGAGGCCUGGGCAGAGCAUUCUCCCCUCAGGAAGUUCCUGGGAGAAAGUAAAGGGCUCCUGUUGCUGAGGUCCUGGAUUGCACCCAAGUUUUUUCCAACUCUUCUUCCAAUUAGGAUCCCAUUCAAGAUACCACACUUCAUUUGGUUGCCAUUUCACCUUAGUCUCUUUGAGGCAGACAGUUUAUCAGUCUUUCUGGGUCUUUCACAGCCCUGACAUUUUGAAGAUACUGGUAAAGUAUUUUAUAGAAUAUCUGUCAAUUUGGAUUGGUCUGGUGUUUUCUUAUGAUUAGAUUGAAGUUACACAUUUUUGG